rnacentral:rRNA from 1 species
CACUCCUACGGGAGGCAGCAGUGGGGAAUAUUGGACAAUGGGCGCAAGCCUGAUCCAGCCAUGCCGCGUGAGUGAUGAAGGCCCUAGGGUUGUAAAGCUCUUUCACCGGUGAAGAUAAUGACGGUAACCGGAGAAGAAGCCCCGGCUAACUUCGUGCCAGCAGCCGCGGUAAUACGAAGGGGGCUAGCGUUGUUCGGAUUUACUGGGCGUAAAGCGCACGUAGGCGGACUAUUAAGUCAGGGGUGAAAUCCCGGGGCUCAACCCCGGAACUGCCUGUGAUACUGGUAGUCUUGAGUUCGAGAGAGGUGAGUGGAAUUCCGAGUGUAGAGGUGAAAUUCGUAGAUAUUCGGAGGAACACCAGUGGCGAAGGCGGCUCACUGGCUCGAUACUGACGCUGAGGUGCGAAAGCGUGGGGAGCAAACAGGAUUAGAAACCCCUGUAGUCCCAUGA